rnacentral:rRNA from 1 species
GUAGGGAAUAUUGGACAAUGGGCGAAAGCCUGAUCCAGCCAUGCCGCGUGAUAGAUGAAGGCCCUCUGGGUUGUAAAUAUCUUUUAUCUGGGAAGAAACUCCUCUAUUCUUAGAGGCCUGACGGUACCAGAGGAAUAAGCACCGGCUAACUCCGUGCCAGCAGCCGCGGUAAUACGGAGGGUGCAAGCGUUAUCCGGAUUCACUGGGUUUAAAGGGUGCGUAGGCGGGUUGAUAAGUCAGUGGUGAAAGCUCCGGUCUUAACUUGGAAACUGCCAUUGAUACUGUAGAUCUUGAGUGUCGUAGAGGUAAGCGGAAUGUUGCAUGUAGCGGUGAAAUGCUUAGAUAUGUUACAGAACACCAAUUGCGAAGGCAGCUUACUAUGCGAUAAUUGACGCUGAGGCACGAAAGCGUGGGGAGCAAACAGGAUUAGAUACCCGGGUAGUCC